rnacentral:pre_miRNA from 1 species
UGUGCACCGGUGGGGUCCCUCAGCCUGGCCUGUGCCCUCUCAAAAUCCGGGAUCCCUUGGGGGAUGUUGGAGAGCCGGUUUUGGCUCGAUCCCUGCAGGCCAGGCUGAGGGACCUCACCGGUGCAUG